ACCAUACACAUCCUGCUGCUCUUUCCCGACCCCUCUGAUGGUCACGAUCAUCUACUUGUCCUUUCUCUGUGUGCUUUGCUAAUGUUUAAACAAACACUAACAUGUGGCUGCCGCUGUUGCUGCUGAAAAAAAAAAUGGUAAAGAAGCCGCUCCGCCACCCAAUCGGUCUGACCAUCGGAUGCCAUGUGAUCUGAAGCAAUUCCAACUGGCAGUGGAAAAAAGAAAAUCGUUAACUAGUGGCCGAGUUCUAUUUACUCAAGGACUAAAGGAAUCGUUUUUCUUAAAAGGAGAAAAGUCGGAACAUGAUGGGUAGUAAAGC